GUCAUUCACUGUCCUUAUUGCUGUCGAUGUCACUGUUACUUCCGCUGCUGCUGAUCCUGUUGCUAUCUUCCUUGCUGUCUCCAGGUCCAGUUGCAUCGUUGUCCUUUUCGUUCUCCUUCUCCUCUUCCCCUCCUGGGGGAGGUUCUUGAACAGCCUGUGCCAAGUGUCUCUUUUCCAGGUGGAGUUGGCUGUGUCUUCUCCAUCCUCUUCCACUGCUUUCUGGUAGUAGGACUUAAGUUUGCUCAGAAACAUUUUAACACAGUCUGUUUCCUUGAGCUCCAUGUGUCUGUACAUCAAAAGGUUCCUGCAUUGCCACAAGACACUCCUGAUGCAGGACACAAACUGGUUGAAGCGGGUUGUCUGGGACCCCUGCUGUUUAGUCAGAUGUCCGUACAGUGCCACCUCCCUUGUCAUCAGCCCGACCUCUGUCAUCUCUUCAUGCAGCUGGCUUACCUUUUUCCAUACUCCCUUGGCAUUGGGGCAGCUCCAUAGGAGGUGGUCAAUGGUCUUGCUUUCAUUUUGGCAGCUGUCCCUGGGGCAGUUGGGGCUAGUCCCUUGCCCCUCUCUGUAUCUCCAUAUUUUCACUGGGAGUACACAGUAAGCUAUUAGCUAGUUCAAGUCUCUGUGGUCCUUUUGUAGGUCCUUGUGAAAGAUCUGGUCCCAGGUGGCUUGGCAAUUGUCUUCAGGGAGCAGCUCCACAGUCGAUAGCUUGUCUCUGACUCUGAAUGCCUCUUG